rnacentral:rRNA from 1 species
AGCUCCAAUAGCGUAUAUUAAAGUUGUUGCAGUUAAAAAGCUCGUAGUUGGAUUUGUGGUUGUCGUGAGGGAAUUUCACAUUCGUGUGAUUAUCCAUUGACGUCACCAUCCUUGGGUGGAUUUCGUGUGGCAUUAGGUUGUCGUGCGUAGGAUGCCCAUCGUUUACUGUGAAAAAAUUAGAGUGUUCAAAGCAGGCUUAUGCCGUUGAAUAUAUUAGCAUGGAAUAAUAAGAUAGGACCUUGGUACUAUUUUGUUGGUUUGCGCACCAAGGUAAUGAUUAAUAGGGACAGUUGGGGGUAUUCGUAUUCCAUUGUCAGAGGUGAAAUUCUUGGAUUUUUGGAAGACGAACUACUGCGAAAGCAUUUACCAAGGAUGUUUUCAUUAAUCAAGAACGAAAGUA